AUACUGCUGAGGAGUCCCACAAUAGGACGAAGCGGCCGUCAAGUAC
rfam:Schistosoma haematobium scaffold128_2, whole genome shotgun sequence.